UACAGAGGUCUCAAGCGUUUGUUCGGAUUCAUUGGGCGUAAAGGGUGCGUAGGCGGCGCGGUAAGUCGGGUGUGAAAUCUCGGAGCUUAACUCCGAAACUGCAUUCGAUACUGCCGUGCUUGAGGACUGGAGAGGAGACUGGAAUUUCCGGUGUAGCGGUGAAAUGCGUAGAUAUCGGAAGGAACACCUGUGGCGAAAGCGGCUCACUGGCCCGGUACUGACGCUGAGGUGCGAAAGCGUGGGGAGCAAACAGG
rnacentral:rRNA from 1 species